ACUCAUCCCUCCAAACAGAUGCAUAAAAUUAUCUUUGACAUAAGCGGCAAACAGCUUGAGCGUGUAGCUAUAUAUGCACUGAUCAGUUUUGUCCCGUCUGCACAGCGCCGCAUUUCAGUCGCGCGCCUCUCGCGAGAGUGAUCACUGAAAGCGCGCGAGCGCCGCUGUUUAAACUUCAACGGUUCACGGUGCGCUGACUGCGCUCAGCGUCGGGAGAAAGACGAUUACAUUGAAGCUAAAAGAAGAAAGGUGAUUUAUCGCAUGGUCCAGGCCUGCGCAAUUUUCUGCCGGGAGAGUGUAUCGGACCUAUAAGUAUAGGAAAAGAUGAAACAAAGUUUCGGUCAAAUCUCCGUCAGACUGCCGUUAUAAACAUGAAUUCAAACCAAGAAGAACGAAGAGAGAAGCUGAUGGAGAUGUUUCCAUUUUUUCUGUGGAUAACUAUGUUCAUCUAUCCCAGAGAGCACUGUUAAAGUUUUAGCUCCACCUUAUCAGAUAGCUGAAAAGUGGAAGUCAGAGGAAACAUGAACAACCUGCUGCAAAACAAUAACACAAAAGGUCUGGACUCUGGCGUGCAGCAUUACUUGUUUGGUCAUCUACAUUCAGAUGAAAACACCACACUUCUCUCUAAUUCAAGAUGUCAAGCCUACUCAUCGCAAAGAGAGUUAGCAUCAAAAUGGAUGUGUCACUGACCAAUAACACAGAGAUGCCAGAAGUAUCUGUUUGCAGUCUACUUUUUGUUCAGUAUGGAGCAUCCAAAAGCCAUCACUCAGUUGAUUUCAAUCAGCACUAUUUAGCCCUUCCCAGUGCUGAAAUUGUUAUGGGUCCUUUGUUUUUAUUCUUUAAAUGCUUAUCUGAAUGUAAAAUUAAUAUUUAAUGCUUAUAAAUUAAAAAACAAACAACAACAACAACAACAAAAACCAAUAGUUCCCUUUUCAGAAACAUGUGGUUCACCAUCUUUCAUGGGUUACAGAACUGGGGAAAGUUGCAGCAUACAAAAAAAAAAAAAAGUCAGACUACAUGGUUUAGGGGAAUGUGGAGUAAAUACUUGACAUUUAUUUAAGGUAAAGUUUAAUGACCUGGUGGUGAGAUGCAAAAUAAGAAUGUCAUUAAUAUACUAUUUGAUGACAAAAUUUUCACAUUCUAAUUUUACUUAUGUAUAUCAUUUUUUUUAAUUAUUUUUGCAAGUUAACAUUCAAUUGUUGUUGUUUUUUUUUUUUUUUUUGUGGUUUCUAGCAAUCAACAUAUAUUUGUGACUGACAUGUUGGAUGGGUGAGUAAGGUGGAGGGAGUUGAAAAAACAAUAUUUCUAAAAUGGAGAGUGCUAUUUUAGACAGGUAAAAAUAAUAAAAAAGUACAAAUAAAUAAAGAAACAUGGAUUUAUGUUAAUCCCUGUAACUGUUGCACUAUGAAUUGCUGUGUUAUAUAUUGCUCGUCAUUGUAAAUGCUAAUAAAAGCAUCUUAAAUGAUCACACAACUCCU